GCUAAAUAAGAGCGUAUGGGGAAUGCCUAGGCUCUCAGAGGCGAUGAAGGACGUGAUAAGCUGCGAAAAGCUGCGGGGAUUGGCACAUACAAAUUGAUCCGCAGAUAUCCGAAUGGGGCAACCCAGCAUGUUGAAGACAUGUUAUCCGCAAGGAGGCGAACCCGGAGAACUGAAACAUCUAAGUACCCGGAGGAGAAGAAAACAAAAGUGAUUCCGAUAGUAGCGGCGAGCGAAAUUGGAUUAGCCCAAACCAGUAUUGUUACGGCAAUGCUGGGGUUGUAGGACCACGAUAUUUGAACCAUAAUGAAUUAGAACGCUUUGGAAAGAGCGACCAAAGAGGGUGAUAGUCCCGUAUAAGUAAAGAUUGGUAAGAUAGUGGUAUCCUGAGUAGUGCGGGGCACGUGAAACCCUGUAUGAAUCAGUCGGGACCAUCCGAUAAGGCUAAAUACUCCUGAGAGACCGAUAGUGAACUAGUACCGUGAGGGAAAGGUGAAAAGAACCCUGAAUAAGGGAGUGAAAUAGAACCUGAAACCAUACGCUUACAAGCGGUCGGAGCAGACUUGAUCUGUGACGGCGUGCCUUUUGCAUAAUGAGCCUACGAGUUACCGUUGCUAGCAAGGUUAAGUACUUAAGGUACGGAUCCGUAGCGAAAGCGAGUCUGAAUAGGGCGACGAGUUCGAGGGAUAAGACCCGAAACCGAGUGAUCUAGCCAUGUGCAGGUUGAAGGUGCGGUAACACGCACUGGAGGACCGAACCCACGUCUGUUGAAAAAGACGGGGAUGACGUGUGGCUAGGGGUGAAAGGCCAAUCAAACUCGGAGAUAGCUGGUUCUCUGCGAAAUCUAUUUAGGUAGAGCGUCAUCCGAAUACCCCCGGGGGUAGAGCACUGGAUGGGUAAUGGGGCCCCACAGGCUUACUGAUCCUAACCAAACUCCGAAUACCGGGGAGUACUAGAUGGCAGACAGACGGCGGAUGCUAACGUCCGUCGUCGAGAGGGAAACAACCCUGACCUACAGCUAAGGCCCCCAAUUCAUGGCUAAGUGGGAAAGCAGGUGGGACGACCAAAACAACCAGGAGGUUGGCUUAGAAGCAGCCAUCCUUUAAAGAUAGCGUAACAGCUCACUGGUCUAAACAAGUUGUCCUGCGGCGAAGAUGUAACGGGGCUCAAGCCAUGAGCCGAAGCUUCGGAUGCACAUAGUGCAUGGUAGCAGAGCGUAGUG
rnacentral:rRNA from 1 species